rnacentral:rRNA from 1 species
UACGUAGGGUGCGAGCGUUGUCCGGAAUUACUGGGCGUAAAGAGCUCGUAGGUGGUUUGUCGCGUUGUUCGUGAAAACCGGGGGCUUAACCCUCGGCGUGCGGGCGAUACGGGCAGACUUGAGUACUGCAGGGGAGACUGGAAUUCCUGGUGUAGCGGUGGAAUGCGCAGAUAUCAGGAGGAACACCGGUGGCGAAGGCGGCAUCCUGGACCGACACUGACGCUGAGGAGCGAAAGCCAGGGGAGCAAACGGG